rnacentral:lncRNA from 1 species
UGCAGGGGGUGCCUCGGGAAGGUGAAGGACGGAGGUCACGGACUGGCCUGGCGGGAGGCUGCGGGGUCAGGGACAGACGCGCGUGUGCCUCCACCCGCCGCCGCUUGCUCCUCUCUCUCUUCUUUGCAGUCUCAGUUCCUUUGCCUGAUAUCCUUGGAAACCGCGCGAGAAGGAAGCAAAACAGUCCCAUUAAAUCGUCUCUCUCCUGUUUCCCUUCCACCUUAAAGUUCUCCCGUUUGCUCGCCUCUUCCUCCGACCCCAGCCAGGAAAACUGAGAAGAUGACAAGUCCCUUCAGACAACCCCAUAUUCCCAAGUGCAUUCUGGACAGAGGGAGGAUUUUGGAAAAAUCCAUGGAGUAUCUAAUCACAUGCCUUGAAAUGAGAAACUCUUCACUCCACGGGAUGCUUUGGCUCUAGCAACUAUCUUGCAACAUCCAGAGAUGAGCUGAGAGUAUGCUGCAUGCUGAUUUUGAAUGAGGUGAAGAUGUCAUCUGUCCUUUUAGCCACUUUUACUUGUGUGGUCUAUUUUUGCAGUUGUGAGCACUGUGAGACAUACACGUUAAAGACAACAGACCAAAUGUAAGGCAUCGAGCAACUUCAGUUACAGCAGCAUUAACUGCUGUUCACAGGUUGCCAGGAGAAAUGUGAAAGCUGUAAAGGCUGGAGAGGACUGGAGAGAGACAACAGUGCUGCUCGUUGUGUGUGUUUUGCUUUGGUUUAGCGACAGUGUUUCUUUUGUUUUCCAGUACCGGGAAUAGAACUCACGACCUCGCGCUUGCCAAGCAGGCGCUGUGCUGCUGAGCUAAAUCCCCAGCCCCACCGAUAGUGUUUCUUAUAAGUACCUAUGGAUUUAAUCUCAUUCAAAUGCAAUUUGUGUGCACGACAAAUGUCAAUGUAGUUUCCUGAAUGAAAGCAGAAUUCAAGAAGACUGUCCCUCAGUGAACAGGGAUAAUGCUGGUGGUGGUCUCUGUUCCAUCUUCGCUGAUUUUAUCUAUUUCAUAUAUGAGCACUUUAUUUGGACCCUUAAAGUAGUGAUCAGGGGCAGCAGUGUCACGUUGCUUGCUCUCCAAAGCUGCCCAGUGACCAGCGACUGGCUUAGGAACACCUGAUCCAGCCAUGGUUUUAUGCAACCUCUGGAAAAUUGCAGUUCCUUUAAAAACACCAAUAAUUUUACCUUCCC